rnacentral:lncRNA from 10 species
AAGGGAUCCUGCCUGCGAUCCCGAAGUCCAGGCGUGGGAGCCAGCGAUCUGCCCACGACCCCAAAGUGAGGCCACUCCACGGCCUCUGGGGCAAAUGCCUGUUAUUCUAGGCAGCCGGUCCCCAGAAGCUGGAAAGUACGUAAAAGUGCCAGAAGCUCCCAUGCUGAAAACUAAACAAAAGGAAUAGUUCAUAUAGCGGCAAAGCUGGAAAGUAUCUGGACAGUUAUCUACCAUCCUCCCUUUUUGUUUGUUGUUUUUUUGUUUUUCUGGGUUUUUUUGUUUUUUUUGUUUUUUUUUUUUUUUUUUGAGAUGGAGUUUCGCUUUUGUUGCCCAGGCUGGAGUGCAAUGGCGCGAUCUCGGCUAUGUCACGUGCAACCUGCAACCUCCACAUCCCGGGUUCAAGAGUUUAUCCUGCCUCAGCCUCCCGAGUAGCUGGAAUUAUAGGCAGGCGCCACGAUGCCCGGCUAAUUUUUGUAUUUUUAGUAGACAUGGGGUUUCGCCAUGUUGGCCAAGCUGGUCUCAAACUCCUGACCUCAGGUGAUCCGCCUGCCUCGGCUUCCCAAAGUGCUGGGAUUACAGGGGUGAGCCACCAUGCCCAACUUGUUUUUUGUUUGUUUGCUUGCUUGCUUGUUUGCUUGUUUGUUUUGAGACAGGGUCUCGCUCUGUCUCCCAGACUGGAGAGCAGUGGCACCAUCUCAGCUCACUGCAACCUCUGCCUCCCAGGUUCAAGAAAUUCUCCUGCCUCUGCCUCCACACCCGUCUAAUUUUUUGUUGUUGUUGUACUUUUUUUUUUUUUUUUUUGUAUAUUUAGUAGAGAUGGGGUUUCACGGUGUUGGCCAGGCCGGUCUUCAACUCCUGACCUCAAAUGAUCUGUCCACCUCAGCCUCCCAAAGUGCUGGGAUUACAGGUGUGAGCCACCGUGCCCGGCCCCAUCCUCCUUUUUAAUAGGCUUAAAAAAUAAAACCAAGGACCAAUGAUUUAAGUGAGGGACUCCAGAGGCCACAGAUGACAGUCAAAACGAAGUGAAAUUGACAUUCGUUGUUGAUUUUCACGUCAUAAAAUUAUAAUUUAAAUAUUAAUUUAUAAUACUAUUUUAUACAAUUUAGUCAGUAUUGUAAAAGUGCCUAAAAACUACUUAAAGAUGGUGUCUUCUUGCAAACCUGUAAAUAUUCCUGGAUGAGAGGAAUGAUGACAGUCAAAAGAAGGAGAAGCCAGCUGUCAUUCUGUGAACAGCCCUCUGAAGAAGCCCGAGUAGCCAGGAACUGGUUUCCAGCCAAUAGCCAGCAAGGACCUGAGGCCGGCCAACAGCUAUGUGGCAAUGCAAAAAAUAAUGGUGCAUAUUACAAUCAAUGGCAUCUUUGAUUGGAUGUGGAAAUUCAAUUUUGUGUGGUAAGUACCAUGCUAGAAUGAUUUAUAAAGGGUCAUUUAGCUCGAAAUAUCUAUGACUGCUGUAGGUCCUCAAUGUUAUCAGUCUAGGGAAACAAGCACAUAAAAAAAAGUGGAGAAAUGCUAUUGCCAAGCAGCCUAAGUUCAAAGGAUG